CACUGCCCUGAGCUUUAGCAUUUUGAAUUGCCUAGAAAUAAAGCUUGACAAAGUAUCCAACCCUCCAAGCAAGCAAAUGUGAAUACAUUCACAGACUCUGCUUCCGUUUAUUAUGAGGCAACUAAGGCACAUGAAGGUCAAGCCCAAGUCACACAACUGAUGAGUGACAAAACCAGGAUCUGAACCUGGCAGUCUGGCCCCAGAGCCCUCUCUGCCUCCCACCACCUGUCCAUCUGUGGUCAUGGAGCUGAGUCCAGUGAGAUUCCCACCAAGAACAACCUUUCCCUUGCCAAUAUCCUCAACUCUUUUGCAUGUAACAUCCUGAUUAGGCAACAUCAGCACAGAAGAAGCCCAGUGUCCACCUUCUUCCGGCC
rnacentral:lncRNA from 1 species